AUACGGUAGUGCAACCACUCUCGCAAACUUGAGAAAGGUCGGUAUUAAAUUGAAAUAUGCUAAAAAUGUACCAGUAAUAAUUACGUACAUUUGUAUACAACGGCAUACGGCAAUGAAUGUAAAGACAAGUAAUCGGUGUAUUAUUCCUGCAUCAAUACCUGGUUAAUAAAUUGGACAAAAUUAUUAUGGGCACAGCGGAACAUUGACAUUUUAUUCUUAUACAUUAUCAUCUGGAGAAUUACGUUCGCGAAAUGGAAGUCGGUUUGCCCGGAUUCACAAUACGACAUUUUGGGAGCACCAUUUUCCAGGAAGAGAUAAGAUCAAUUACUAACAGAAGAGUUAAUAAUAAUUUUAAUAUUCCUAAAGGAAUCGACCAGAACCCGAAUUUUAGAAGAAGUAUCAAAUUUACCAUGGUGAUCACCUGAUUCAUCUAUUCGCCUACUUACCGCCUCUCUUAAGAAAGGUUGCACACAAAGAUGCAGCUUUGUCAAGUCCGAUGUGACCUGCACCGAAUUGUGCGACUGCGGAGGCGAGUGUUCUCAAGAUAGGGCUCAAUAAUUUUAGUGCCGUAGAUAUUGUUAACUUUC